UACGAAGGGGGCUAGCGCUGUUCGGAAUUACUGGGCGUAAAGCGCGCGCAGGCGGUCCUUCAAGUCAGAGGUGAAAGCCCAGAGCUCAACUCUGGAAUGGCCUUUGAGACUAGAGGACUUGGGUACGGGAGAGGUGAGUGGAAUUCCGAGUGUAGAGGUGAAAUUCGUAGAUAUUCGGAAGAACACCAGUGGCGAAGGCGGCUCACUGGCCCGUUACCGACGCUCAGGCGCGACAGCGUGGGGAGCAAACAGG
rnacentral:rRNA from 1 species